UGUGCAUUAACGCUUGACUUUUUUUUCUUCUUCUUCUUCUUCUACUUCUUCCAACUUCCUUCUUUGGACAACCACGGAUUUACAAUCCCUCUCCCCCCUCUGCUGCCCUGCAGGGCUCGUUGUUCACACACACACACACACACACACACGCACACACACGCACACACACACGCGCGCGCACAUGCACACAAGACUGUUGCUAAAUAUGGAGAGAAAAGCAUUGUUGAUUUAAUUCCCUCAAAAAGAUCACUGAUAUGAAACCGGCUUCAAAUCCUCUUAGUGACCUUAAACACUCCUGGAGAAACAAUUGGCGCUCAACCGUAUAGGAACAAAUAAAAUCGCCCUAAUCUUGUUUGUAACUUUGUUCUUCUUUGGCCCUCUUCACUAUGUGAGAUUAUGUAAACGAGCAGAGCUAAUGUAUAGAGGCGCUGAGAUAAGACUGGAUCAUAGACUGACUCCUGAAGAGGCUCAGGGAGGCAAGACCCUUGCAGCCUGUGUAUUUCUUCUCUCUGCAGGAGUUCGGUAAUGAGAAGAAAUGCGGCUGCAAAUGCAUGUAACGUGCAUCUGCAAACACGUUCUGCCCCAAAUGCAACGGCUGCGCUCGUUUAAUCAUUUCACGGAUUUGAUUCAAUUCUUUAAUCGACAGGUUUUACGAUGGUUUAAUCUUCGAUUACCUCAGUCAUCUGAUUCUGAACUUCUUUUGACCCCCCCGGAGUGAAUUGCGACUAUAGGCUUUCAGAAAGUAGAGUGAGCAACUCAAAUACUUGUAAAAGUUUCGCGACUAACUGUAAAUUCUUCAGCUCCAAAGCCUCAUUUUCCCCUCCACCGAUUCUCAGAGUGUGGUGUCAAAGGGUUAGUGAGGGGGCGUGGGGGGGGGGGGGGGGGCAGCAAAUGUAACUGUGGCUUGUCCUCCACACUGGAAGGAGAUUAUGCGGCCUUCUAGCGACAUCUGGCGGCGGCGGAACCAGGGCUGUCGAAAGCUUUGCAAGAAAUGUGUAAAGGCCCACAAAAUGAAGCAAAAAAAGAAUUAUUUACUACCCCCUAACGCAGUUUUCGAAAAUAUAUCAAAUGGCUUUUAUUAACUUACGAAAGGGAUUGCAUUAACGUCGAACGCCAUCGAACGUAUGAAAAUAGAGAUUUCGUUUUACUGUCCGAAUCGAGCCUUUGUUUCUCGCUGCCUGACUCUGAACAGAUUUGCUGGCAAUUCAUUGAGGAUAGGUUCUGCGUAAGCGUUUACACCGUCACACAAAGUAGAAAAUGCAUUUUCCUAGUUUUUUAUUAUUAUUAUUAAAAAAAUGCAAGUAGCCCUUAAUGUAAAUCCUAAUUCGUUAGAUACAGGAUUAAUACGCAUCUUUACAUCUAAGGUGCAAAUAAAACACUGUAAAACUAUUUAAAUAUUGAAAAAAUCUGGACAAUUUGUAUUAUCUGCUUUACACGUGUUAACGCUUGUUAACGAAUAAAAGCAUGUUAACGAAUAAAAGUUAAACAAUUACUCAAGCGAAGCCGGGGGAAAAAAAUAGAUUGGGAAGUAAAAAAAGAUGACCAUAACACUACAUUACUGCUGAAAAAUAGCGUCCUUCCCGUUCUUUUUAAAAAAAUGUUGAAAGAAUUAUUUCAGAUGCAAAACUAUAAUGCGAUGCAUUACCCCCUUCAUUCAAAUCGUAGUGCAUUUUGUCCCACGUUGAAAUAAGAUGCGCGCGGCCGGAGGAGCAGCUCGGCCGGGACACGCAGUCCGAGCGGGUCACCGCCGGGAUUAGAGCCCGUCGUUAACGCCUGUGCGGAUACACCAAAUGCUGAUUUAAUGAGCUUGCACUGGGUGUUUGUCCUGGAAUACCUGGUGUGCAUGUUAGUUACGCCACAGACGAUAAUCCCUGUGUGCCCCCCCCUCUCCUAACACGUGGCUUCAGGGACGGCCUCAUACCUACAGCAACAAAGACGCCCGUGGAGAUUUGCGUAUUAUUUUCUUUCCUUUUUUAAAAUUUUUUAUUCUUUUUUAUUUCGGUUUGAUUGAACAGCUCGAAGCCUAUAAGGCCCGUAUCCAGCCACAUUACCAGCUGUAAUUGAGAGAAGUUUAAGUGGAAAGCGAGGAGUUAAUAGCGGUGACCCUCUUGCUGUGCCUCUGUCGCUCAUCAUUUAUCAGGCUUAAGGGGCUUAAACAGGCAGCACAGACCCACCUUUUAUUACAUAUCAAACCCUCUCUCCCUUAUCUACAUUAUAGGAAAUGCAUGCAUCGUUGCCCGUUAUGCGGAUUUGGAAAUAGAAACAUGUCCAAUAAAGUCUCCUUCCUCCGCUGAUCAGAGGAAAUAUGGCUUUAGGCGCAGCAGAGACAACCCCGGCGCGUUAAGCCUUUAUUAAAUUGUCUUAAUUCCCCUCUGCGCUUAUGAUAUGUAUAGAAAUUCCACUCUUGCGUUGGUUGUCCGGUGCAGGAAGCGGGGGGUGGGGGGUGUUUUCAUGGUUCCAACGUGAUUAGAAGGUGGAUGGAAGUGUGAGUGCGCGCGGACGAAAGAGCGCCGGCGAACUGUUAAACGAAAUAACGCACGCGGCGUCGUGUCCCGCGAGUACCGGAGCAUUCAGCGAGGCUGUAAAGGAAGUGGAUGCACCAAGACACCUGGCAAAAACUACAUAAGCAGACCGCUGCUUUAUUCAUAAUAUGAAGGGGUGUGAAAAACAUCCUGUCUUCUGUGACCUCCGCCUCUCUCCUUUAUUUACAGCCUCACAGAACUGCAAUUGUCUUUUACAAGGAGGCCGUUAAAACAGUUGCCUAGUCUUAACUUAUUUGUGCAAUUUAAAAAACAUGCGGUUCCAGAUAAUGCUUUCGAUGCUGAAAUAAAAUAUUUGAGCACAGGAGAAAUAUGUGGUGUUUUCCCUCUGAAACGCUGCCACAGUGUUUCACUUUCAACUUCAGGGCCGAGCUUAAGAUGUCUGCUGCUUUCCUCCAAGGAGAACUCAGUCACUCAGCCCGAACCAGCUGCAUUUCAACUGAGUGACGGAUUUUGAUAUUCUAGUCACACAACAGAGUAAACAGUCUCCUAUUCAAUAAACAUCAUUGACAAGGUCCCACAACCAGCUAUUUGGAAUACAGAAGUCUGCCGUCAUUGGGUGUCCGUAAUUUUCUAUUUGUAAUUAUCAAAUAAAAGAGCAUCACGGUUAUUUAGUUGUUUAAAAAAGUUGUAAUGUGUACAUGUUGUGACAAAUUAUACUUGUGUAUGUACAUUUUUCUCUGAAAAACGAUCGUACAUGUUGUAACUUUCACAUUAAAACGUUUUUUAAA
ensembl:lncRNA